rnacentral:rRNA from 1 species
AACGAACGCUGGCGGCAUGCCUAACACAUGCAAGUCGAACGAGACCUUCGGGUCUUGUGGCGCACGGGUGCGUAACGCGUGGGAACCUGCCCUUAGGUUCGGAAUAACUCCCCGAAAGGGGUGCUAAUACCGGAUAAUGUCUUCGGACCAAAGAUUUAUCGCCCUUGGAUGGGCCCGCGUUGGAUUAGCUAGUUGGUAGGGUAAUAGCCUACCAAGGCGACGAUCCAUAGCUGGUCUGAGAGGCUGAUCAGCCACACUGGGACUGAGACACGGCCCAGACUCCUACGGGAGGCAGCAGUGGGGAAUGUUGGACAAUGGGCGAAAGCCUGAUCCAGCAAUGCCGCGUGAAUGAUGAAGGCCUUAGGGUUGUAAAGCUCUUUUACCCGGGAUGAUAAUGACGGUACCGGGAGAAUAAGCUCCGGCUAACUCCGUG